GACGAACGCUGGCGGCGUGCUUAACACAUGCAAGUCGAACGGAAAGGCCCUGCUUUUGUGGGGUGCUCGAGUGGCGAACGGGUGAGUAACACGUGAGUAACCUGCCCUUGACUUUGGGAUAACUUCAGGAAACUGGGGCUAAUACCGGAUAGGAGCUCCUGCUGCAUGGUGGGGGUUGGAAAGUUUCGGCGGUUGGGGAUGGACUCGCGGCUUAUCAGCUUGUUGGUGGGGUAGUGGCUUACCAAGGCUUUGACGGGUAGCCGGCCUGAGAGGGUGACCGGCCACAUUGGGACUGGGAUACGGCCCAGACUCCUACGGGAGGAAGCAGUGGGGAAAAUUGCAAAAGGGGGGGAAGCCUGAUGCAGAAAGGCCGCGUGCGGGAUGACGGCCUUCGGGUUGUAAACCGCUUUCGCCUGUGACGAAGCGUGAGUGACGGUAAUGGGUAAAGAAGCACCGGCUAACUACGUG
rnacentral:rRNA from 1 species